rnacentral:rRNA from 1 species
CCGCAACGAGCGCAACCCUUGCCCUUAGUUGCCACCAUUUAGUUGGGCAUUUUAAGGGGACUCCCGGGUAUAAUCCGAGAGAAAGGGGGGGAAGACGUCAAGUCCUCAUGGCC